rnacentral:lncRNA from 1 species
UCCCAGGCUGCCCCUCUGAGGACCUCUGUCCCUGGGAGUAGCAAUACCUGUUUCGGGUGGCACGGAUGAUAGAGAUGGAGGGAGGCUAGAUGAAUGGUCAUGCUACCCAUACACAUAGAAAAGCUGGCUACAUGAAACAAUAACCACAGAGAAGCAGGAGGGACCACUCACCCUCAGACUUAAGUGUUCUCCAGGUGCCCUGGGCCUAUACUUGACAGGGGCCAAGGUCACCUGUGCUAUAAAACUUCCAGAGUACCUGGGCUAUAGAGCAUACUUGUUCCUAAUUCACUUUUUGCCUCAUGGCUGUGUAGGGUAGACUCAGCUCUGGGGCCUUGUACAUCCUUGUACAUUCCCUAGGAUUACCCAGCAGCCUAUUUGGGUCUUUGUGUUGCCCCACCCCUGCUCCCCACUGAGGCAGAGCACUGAAAAUGUGAACCAAACAGGUGAAUGCAAAUUGUGGGAGUGGGGUGAGGGACGUGCCACCACAUUUAGACUCUCUCUCUCAGCCUUGGCCUGCUAAAAGGAGGAGAAAACAGUGCCUGGAUGGUAGAAAAUAAGACAGUAGCUGCCCACAGAAACAAGCUGAAAGCUGGGGCACUAAGGGCUACCUAUCCUUCUUCUUCUUUUUUUUUUUUUUUUGAGACGGAGUCUCACUCAGUCGCCAGGCUGGAGUGCAGUGGCGUGAUCUCAGCUCACUGCAACCUCCGCCUCCUGGGGUUCAAGUGAUUCUCCUGCCUCAGCCUCCCGAGUAGCUGGGACUACAGGCACGCGCCACAACACCCAGCUAAUUUUUGUAUUUUAGUAGAGAUGGGGUUUCACCAUGUUGGCCAGGAUGGUCUCGAUCUCUUGACCUCGUGAUCCGCCCACCUCAGCCUCCCAAAAUGCUGGGAUUACAGGCGUGAGCCACCGCGCCUGGCCAGGGCUACCAAUCCUUUGGGGCUCAAAAGAUGGUUAUGUGUGUCACAGUGUACAUCUUGGGAAUGUGCUUCUAUUUUGUUUCCUUUUCAUUUGUUUAGUAUCAGCCUCUUCCAGGUAUCCUUUUUUAAAUACCUGUAUCAAGCAUGCUAUGUUAUUUAAUUUUCUCCCUGAAGAUUACCUAAGAAUAUCACCUGAGGAAGGUGCUAUUGGCCUAUUACAAAUACAGAAACUGAAGCUGAAAGGUUAAGCACCUUCCCCACGUUCAGACAGCUCAAUAGCGGAAGAGAUGGAAUAUAAGCCCUAUUCUUAUUUCACAAAGCUGCCUCCAUGCUGGGGCAGGUAACGUUAACCCUAGGAAACUGCCCAAAACCCACCAAAAGAGAGAAGCUCCUAGGGAACAGAGUUGAGAAUGUUCAUACCCUGCCCCUGCCAACUGCCGGUCUGCUUGGUUUUGUCACACUGGCAUUUCUGGCUUUGGAUGAAUCAAAGGUGGCUGUUACUAUGCUAUACUCCAUCCUUGGUACACAGAGCACCUCGCCAGGCCUCUCCCCCACCAUCACAUCCCCAGUUUCCAGAAAUCAUUCCCCUGGUCAUCUGCCUGGCUAUCCAUUCUCCACAAUCCCCAUGAAUGGAUGCUACCCAGGACACACAGUGAGCAUGAGCUGCUGUCUCCCCUUUCUUGCCACCACAACCCAGUUUGUUUCCUCUAUUCCAUGGAGACUGCCCUGGCCAGCUCAUCAGGCAUCUCUGAAUCACAAUGGCCACUUCCCAGAACUUGAUUGCCCUCUGAGCUGCUCAAUCUCUCUCCUCCCUUGGCUCUGUGACAAUGCUUUCUACAGGGGCCCUAUGCUUGCAGUGGAUGCCCCUUCAGGCUGCAGGCUCUUUAACUCUCAGGGCUUCCCAGGGCUCUACCUUCCCUUCCCUCUGAAUACUCUCCUGAGGUAACUUGCUGCUUCAGAUUCUCUCAGCCUCACCUGACUCCCACGUCUCCAGCUGCUUGCUCUGUGCUGACUAACUCCCACAGGCCGGUGACCACAUUCUGUUCCCCUUGCCAUUGCAGGACUUAGAUUAAAUGCCAUGCCGCAAGGCAUGGGAUCUGGCUUUCGCAGUGGCCAAGAAAUAUCAUCCCAGCAAGAAAGUGGGGAGCUAACACUGGCUCCAUGGCAAACUUUGAGCAGUAAAGCAUGGGCAGGAAGCAGAACAGGUGAAUUUCCCCUCCAUCAAUCCAAAUACAAUGUUCUAGCCAGUCAUGGUGUUUCUGUGUAGUCUAUCCAGAGACAUCCAACAUGGGCAAGUGACUAGCUGUCUUUGUGAGGCAGGAGCCAACUCACUAACACCAACCUUUGAUUUUCUUUUCCUCCUUUCCCUCACUCUCGCUGCUCUGAGACUUCACCCUCCAAUAAAGUGCUAACACUAGCUUUGCCUCAGAUUCGGUUUUCUUAGUAACUUGAAUACAGACAGUAACCUCACCCAAACCAUGCCUUCAACCACCAUUGAUACACUCCCAACUCACUCCCCAAACUUUUCCUAU